rnacentral:rRNA from 1 species
CCCGCAGCACAAGUGGUGGUCAUUAUUAUUGGGCCUAAAGCGUCCGUAGCUGGCUUGUUAGAUGCCUGGGUAAAUCGAUGCGCUCAACGCAUCGAACUCCGGGUAGACCGGCAAGCUUGGGACCGGGAGAGGCGUGAGCUACUCGAGGGGUAGGGGUAAAAUCCUGUAAUCCUUCGGGGAGGACCAGUGGCGAAGGCGUCACGCUAGAACGGCUCCGACAGUGAGGGACGAAGCCCUGGGGCGCAAACCGGAUUAGAUACCCGGGUAGUCCAGGGUGUAAACGCUGCAGACUUGGUGUCGGUGAUCCUACGAGGGUUGCCGGUGCCGUAGAGAAGUUGUUUAGUCUGCCGCCUGGGGAGUACGGUCGCAAGACUG